rnacentral:rRNA from 1 species
GAUGAACGCUGGCGGCGUGCUUAACACAUGCAAGUCGAACGGGAAUUAUUUUAUUGAAACUUCGGUCGAUUUAAUUUAAUUCUAGUGGCGGACGGGUGAGUAACGCGUGGGUAACCUGCCUUAUACAGGGGGAUAACAGUCAGAAAUGGCUGCUAAUACCGCAUAAGCGCACAGAGCUGCAUGGCUCAGUGUGAAAAACUCCGGUGGUAUAGGAUGGACCCGCGUUGGAUUAGCUGGUUGGUGGGGUAACGGCCCACCAAGGCGACGAUCCAUAGCCGGCCUGAGAGGGUGAACGGCCACAUUGGGACUGAGACACGGCCCAGACUCCUACGGGAGGCAGCAGUGGGGAAUAUUGCACAAUGGGGGAAACCCUGAUGCAGCGACGCCGCGUGAAGGAAGAAGUAUCUCGGUAUGUAAACUUCUAUCAGCAGGGAAGAUAGUGACGGUACCUGACUAAGAAGCCCCGGCUAACUACGUG